UAGAGUUUUGAUCCUGGCGUCAGGAUGAACGCUGGCGGCGUGCUUAACACAUGCAAGUCGAACGGACCCAUAUUGAAACCUAGUGAUAUAUGGGUUAGUGGGCGGACGGGUGAGUAACGCGUGGGUAACCUGCCUUACACAGGGGGAUAACACUUAGAAAUAGGUGCUAAAACCGCAUAAGCGCACAGCUUCGCAUGAAGCGGUGUGAAAAACUCCGGUGGUGUAAGAUGGACCCGCGUCUGAUUAGCUUGUUGGCGGGGUAACGGCCCACCAAGGCGACGAUCAGUAGCCGGCCUGAGAGGGCGGACGGCCACAUUGGGACUGAGACACGGCCCAGACUCCUACGGGAGGCAGCAGUGGGAAUAUUGCACAAUGGGGGAAACCCUGAUGCAGCGACGCCGCGUGAGUGAAGAAGUAAUUCGUUACGUAAAGCUCUAUCAGCAGGGAAGAAAUACUGACCUUACGGUCAGCAGACGGUACCUGAGUAAGAAGCCCCGGCUAACUACGUG
rnacentral:rRNA from 1 species